UUGCACGCUGGUCGAGGGCGUGCGCGGCCAGCGGGCCAAGGACUGGCGGCUGGUCGACGACGUGGUCAAGCCUGCCCGGUUCGAGGCCGCGGUGCGCGAGC
rnacentral:tRNA from 1 species